UACGUAGGGUGCGAGCGCUGUCCGGAAUUAUUGGGCGUAAAGAGCUUGUAGGCGGUUUGUCGCGUCUGCUGUGAAAAUCCGGGGCUCAACCCCGGACUUGCAGUGGGUACGGGCAGACUAGAGUGUGGUAGGGGAGACUGGAAUUCCUGGUGUAGCGGUGAAAUGCGCAGAUAUCAGGAGGAACACCGAUGGCGAAGGCAGGUCUCUGGGCCACUACUGACGCUGAGAAGCGAAAGCAUGGGGAGCGAACAGG
rnacentral:rRNA from 1 species